UAGGUCAAGCUACAAANGGCUAAC
rnacentral:rRNA from 1 species